rnacentral:rRNA from 1 species
UACGUAGGGUGCAGGCGUUAAUCGGAAUUACUGGGCGUAAAGCGUGCGCAGGCGGUUUUGCAAGCCGGAUGUGAAAUCCCCGGGCUCAACCUGGGAAUGGCAUUUGGGACUGCAAGGCUCGAGUGCGGCAGAGGAGACUGGAAUUCCUGGUGUAGCAGUGAAAUGCGUAGAUAUCAGGAGGAAUACCGAUGGCGAAGGCAGGUCUCUGGGCUGACACUGACGCUCAUGCACGAAAGCGUGGGGAGCAAACAGG